GCACACCAUCCCCUCCCCUCAAUUGCGCCAUCCCCCACGCAACCGCUAGCCACUCACGCCCUCAGCCCCUCCUCGCAUGUCUCACGCAGCGCCGCAAUCGUCGCCCGCCUUCCGCGCUGCACCGAUUCCCCGUCGCAGCCGUUCUCCUCCACCUUCUCAGGUGCCGCCGCCGCCAGGGAGGCGACGCCCCCACCGAACCACGCCGGGACACCGACGCCCACCUCGCUGAUCCCCUCCCAUCCUCCGCCGCUCCCCUCGCGCCGCCGCCGAUCUCCGCCUCGACGACCGGCUCUGCAUCGUCACUCCUCGCGAUCCCCUCCCGUCCUCCUCCGCGUAGCCCCUGAUCUCUCCUCGACCUUCUCCGUGCCGCCACCGAUCUCCGUUGCCGAAUCAACAUCGCACUCGCACGCCUGGCCAGUCUCCUCCGCGCCAUCAUCGAUCUCCGCCGACCGCUGCUUUUCCCGUCGGAAGCUCCAUUGCCACCCGCGCAGAUCAACCACUUCAAUGUCGGUCUUUCUUGUUACCUUGGCUCCUUGCGAUGGUAUGAUACAUGUUGUUACCUUGUAUUCCAUAUUUGCAGGUUAAUGAUGCUCCUAUUAAAGCCCUGAACUCCCCUGGCAUAUUUGCAAGUGUCCAAACUCAUCAGGGAUGUAAUUAUACUGUAUCAUGACUUUCAACACACAAAGACCUGCGAGCUAAGUGAAUGAGUUUAGAAAGUGAUGCAUAAAUGCAUUGAGAAUGCUAUACCAUCACAACAGACCAAGAACUGCAGCUGGUUUCCAAUUUUUGUGAGAAUCUAACUUUAAACAUCCUGCUGAUCCUUCACUUCCACCAUUUAUCUUGAUUGGCCCAGGAACUGGUUUUGCACCUUUGCAGAUCUCGACCACACAAUUCUCCCAACUCUGCUAUAUUUUUUUAUUAUAACGCAUUAUAGGGAUCUGCGCUCCAAUUUCAACAAAUAUUGUUUAUAUUUCUGCAUGUGCAGCUAAAAAUAUUAUGUUACAUGACUACAAUCUUAUGUUAACAUGACAUGUUCUUAUACAUUUAUACCUUAAUUUAUCCAUA